rnacentral:tRNA from 1 species
GGGGUGUUAGCUCAGCUGGUAGAGCAGUGGACUCUUAAUCCGUAGGUCUGGGGUUCAAGCCCCCAACGCCCUACCA